CAGAAGGAUUAUCAGGAGAAAACGGCGUCCCGAAAAUGGAGAGAAGAGAUACUUUCUAGAAGGAAAUGGAGGGUCAGCCGUAUCACCUGCCCCAGAGAGGUUGGUGCAGAUAAGCUCACCAAACCUAGUAACAGUAACACAGACACAAUGGUGACCUCUUGGGAACCUUUAGUGGACACGAGUUAGUAUCACCACCUGGAAGUGUUUCAAAUUCACCACAAAAAUGUGUGCCAAAUCAGAACUUCAUUGCACUUAACCUUCAGUAUGAACUGGACUUUUCUAGAUGCUCCUGUGUCCUCAGUUACAGUUGUGAACGUUUAUAGAAACAUACUCAAAGCAAAGGUUGCUGUUCUAAGAGGAGAAGAUACAAAAAAGGCCUAUCAGGAUAACUAGGAAACAGUCUUUCCUUUCUGACUGUUUUCCAGAGAAAAAUGAAGAU